GACGAACGCUGGCGGCGUGCCUAACACAUGCAAGUCGAACGGAGAUAUCCUUCGGGGUAUCUUAGUGGCGAACGGGUGAGUAACGCGUGGGUAACCUGCCCUUUUAUCGGGGAUAACUUGCCGAAAGGUGAGCUAAUACCGGAUGUCCUAUCUUGAUCUCCUGAUUGAGAUAGCAAAGGUGGCUUCUGAAUAUGCUACCGUAAACGGAUGGACCCGAGUCUGAUUAGCUAGUUGGUGAGGUAACGGCUCACCAAGGCGACGAUGCAUAGCCGACCUGAGAGGGUGAUCGGCCACACUGGGACUGAGACACGGCCCAGACUCCUACGGGAGGCAGCAGUAGGGAAUCUUCCACAAUGGACGAAAGUCUGAUGGAGCAACGCCGCGUGAGUGAUGAAGGUUUUCGGAUCGUAAAACUCUGUUGUAAGGGAAGAACACAUACGAGAGGUAAUGCUCGUACCUUGACGGUACCUUACGAGAAAGCCACGGCUAACUACGUGCCAGCCGCCGCGGUAAUAC
rnacentral:rRNA from 1 species